rnacentral:pre_miRNA from 1 species
CAGGUACUCCCUCCGUCCGGAAAUACUUGUCCUCGAAAUGGUUGUAUCUAGACUUAUUUUAAUUAUAGAUACAUCCAUUUUAUCCAUUUUGAGGACAAGUAUUUCCGGACGGCGGGAGUACAAG